GACUUCGUGGUGUAGUGGUCAGCACGCUCGACGCAUAUUCGAGUGUCCGUGGUUCGAAUCCCGACGAGGGCU
rnacentral:tRNA from 1 species